AGGGCACCACCAGGAGUGGAGCCUGCGGCUUAAUUUGACUCAACAGGGGAAAUCUCACCAGGCCCGGACACCGGAAGGAUUGACAGAUUGAGAGCUCUUUCUUGAUUCGGUGGGUGGUGGUGCAUGGCCGUUCUUAGUUGGUGGAGCGAUUUGUCUGGUUAAUUCCGAUAACGAACGAGACUCUGGCCUACUAACUAGAUGGAGGAUCCCUUCGUGGGUUCUUCACUGCUUCUUAGAGGGACGGGCGGCGUUUAGCCGCACGAGAUUGAGCAAUAACAGGUCUGUGAUGCCCUUAGAUGUUCUGGGCUGCACGCGCGCUACACUGAAGGAAUCAGCGUGUCCUCCCCGCUCUGAAACUUGUGGGUAACCCUUUGAAACUCCUUCAUGAUGGGGAUUGGAGAUUGUAAUUAUUCUCCAUGAACGAGGAAUUCCCAGUAAGCGCGAGUCAUCAGCUUGCGUCGAUUACCUCCCUGCCCUUUGUACACACCCCCCGUCGCUACUACCGAUCGAGUGAUUUGA
rnacentral:rRNA from 1 species